AAAAAGGCUUAUGGUGAAUACCUAGGCAUCCAAAGACGAUGAAGGGCGUGGAAACCGACGAAACGCUUCGAGGAGCUGGAAACAAGCAAUGAUUCGAAGAUCCCCGAAUAGGGUAACCUCUUGUACUUCCUUUUGAAUUCAUAGAAGGGAAAGAGAUAACUCGGUGAAUUGAAACAUCUUAGUAGCCGGAGGAAAAGAAAGCAAACGCGAUUCCCGUAGUAGCGGCGAGCGAACUGGGACGAGCCUAAACCGAUCAUCAAUACAAUAGCCAUCGAGUAACUGUUUUUAUAUAGUUACUAAUAGUGGUAGGCUAUUGGAUGUCGGUGUUGUGGGAAGAAAACAUACUUUUUAUAAAACAUAUAAAAAAGGUUGGCCUGUGCUUCCCUUUUAAUCUUUUUUAAUCUUUUCCCAAAGAGCACAGCAACCAUUGUUUGAUCUAUACGAAGCAGCUGAAUCCUGCACCAUAGACGGUGAAAGUCCGGUAGUUUAUAGUAUCUAAAAAAGAUAUUCUCAUCCCGAGUAGCAUGGGGCACGUGAAAUCCCGUGUGAAUCAACGAGGACCACCUCGUAAGGCUAAAUACUUUUGGAUGACCGAUAGUGAAAUAGUACCGCGAGGGAAAGGUGAAAAAGAACCCCUGGAGGGGAGUGAAAUAGAACAUGAAACCGUAAGCUGUCAAGCAGUGGGAGAAAAAGAAUCAUUUUGGUUUAUCUCUUUUUAUAAAACUAAAAAAAAGCUUGUAUAAACAAAUAAAGCGUUUUGGUUGUUGUUAUUUGAAAGGAGGCUCAUAUAAGAGAAACAGAGAAUAAACAAGAAAGGCUGAGUAUCCCUUAUUCUACGAUUUGGUAGUGCACUUCUUGUUUGUUCUUUCUGCGUAAUAUGCGUUUUCCCGUUUUGAAAAGAACAACAAAUACUGGAUUUCUUUCUAGAUUUGACCGCGUGCCUGUUGAAGAAUGAGCCGGCGACUUAUAAGAAGUGGCUUGGUUAAGGGAAAACCCGAAGCCAAAGCGAAAGCGAGUCUUAAUAGGGCAAAACACUUUUAAAAGUUUUGUCACUUCUUAUGGACCCGAACCCGGGUGAUCUAACCAUGGCCAGGAUGAAACUUGGGUAAAACCAAGUGAAGGUCCGAACCGACCGAUGUUGAAAAAUCGGCGGAUGAGUUGUGGUUAGGGGUGAAAUGCCAAUCGAACUCGGAGCUAGCUGGAUCUCCCCGAAAUGCGUUGAGGCGCAGCGGUUAACGACGGGCUGCCUAGGGGUAAAGCACUGUUUCGGUGCGGGCUGCGAGAGCGGUACCAAAUCGUAGCAAACUAAGAAUACUAGGCAUUGCUUUCCGUUAACCAGUGAGACGGUGGGGGAUAAGCUCCAUCGUCAAAAGGGAAACAGCCCAGAUCACCAGCUAAGGCCCCAAAAUGACCGCUAAGUGGCAAAGGAGGUAGGAAUGCUGAAACAACCAGAAGGUUUGCCUAGCAGCAGCCAUCCUUUAAAGAGUGCGUAAUAGCUCACUGGUAGAGCGUUCUUGCGCCGAAAAUGAACGGGACUAAGCGGUCUGCCGAAGCUGUGGGUAAUAUUUAUUAAAAGGUAUAACAAAGCUAUUUAUCUUCUUUUAUCUUCUUGUAAGGGAAGGGAUACAUACGAGGACCACUAAUUAAAAAAGAGAGAAAGGGUUGUAAAUCUUUACAAUAUUGUUUCUUAUUUAAAAGAGCGAAAAGACAGUAUCCCUUCAAAGGGAUACUGUCUUCCCUCCUUUCAUCUUCCCUCCUUUCAGCUUUUAAAAAGAUUUACAACCUCUAUCUUUUUGAAAGGAAAGGUUCUGAAAAAAGAGAUAAAGAGAUAACAAGUUUAUAUACCUUUUUUUGAUCUUACGGUAGGGGAGCGUUCCGCUCUAGGGUGAAGCUCCAACGUAAGUUGGUGUGGACAAAGCGGAAGUGAGAAUGUCGGCUUGAGUAACGAAAACAUUGGUGAGAAUCCAAUGCCCCGAAAACCUAAGGCUUCCUCCACAAGGCUCGUCCAUGGGGGGUUAGUCGGGGCCUAAGGCCAGGCCGAAAGGCGUAGUCGAUGGAAAACAGGUUAAUAUUCCUGUACUAAUCUUUGAGUGGUACCGAGGGACGAAGAAGGGAACAGUUGGUCAAUAUUGGAUGUUGGCGGAAACGUUCAAGGUGAUGAGAGAUAGAAGAAAAACUCUUCUUGAGCUGAGACGUAACACGGUUUUAUUCCCUGAAAACACUCUUUUUUACCAGUUCUUAUUUGUUCAAUAUUACAAUGAGACCUAUUGAGUGUGGCUCAAAAUGAAACUCAACUCGUUGUCAUACUUCCUAGAAAAGCUCGAACUUCCAAUACUAAAAGAUUACCCGUACCCGAAACCGACACAGGUAGGUAGGUAGAGUAUACCAAGGGGCGCGAGAUAACUCUCUCUAAGGAACUCGGCAAAAUGGCCCCGUAACUUCGGGAGAAGGGGCGCCCUUUAUUAUUAUAUAUUAUUUAUUGUAAGAAGAGGGCCGCAGUGACCAGGCCCAGGCGACUGUUUACCAAAAACACAGGUCUCCGCUAAGUCGUAAGACAAUGUAUGGGGGCUGACGCCUGCCCAGUGCCGGAAGGUAAAAGAAGUUUGUUACUUAUCCUACGGGAUAGGGAAGCUUACAACCGAAGCCCCGGUGAACGGCGGCUGUAACUAUGACAGUCCUAAGGUAGCGAAAUUCCUUGUCAGGUAAGUUCUGACGUGCACGAAAGGUGUAACGAUCUGGGCGCUGUCUCGGAGAGAGGCUCGGUGAAAUAGACAUGUCUGUGAAGAUGCGGACUACCUACACCUGGACAGAAAGACCCUAUGAAGCUUUACUGUAGCCUGGGAUUGGAUUUCAGCUUUUAUUGCGCAGCCUAGGUGGGAGGCGGUGAGAGUUCUUUUCCGGGGGAAUUGGAGCCAUCAGUGAGAGACCACUCGAUAAAAGCUAAAAUUCUAAAGGCGAUCCUUGAAUCAGGACGCUUGACAGUUUCAGGUGGGCAGUUUGACUGGGGCGGUCGUCUCCUAAAAGGUAACGGAGAUGUGCAAAGGUUCCCUCAGGCUGGACGGAAAUCAGCUAAAGAGUGUAAAGGCAUAAGGGAGCUUGACUGCAAGACCUACAAGUCGAGCAGGGGCGAAAGCCGGCCUUAGUGAUCCGACGGUACCGAGUGGAAGGGCCGUCGCUCAACGGAUAAAAGUUACUCUAGGGAUAACAGGCUGAUCUUCCCCAAGAGUUCACAUCGACGGGAAGGUUUGGCACCUCAAAUUGGGGUCCAAGUUUGGAAACAUGGUUGUGAAAAUCUUGCUAUAUGCUGGGAAAUCCGAGUAUCUUUUUUGACGAAUUGCUCGUAAAACUAAACAAAGUGCGGAUCAUCAGCAGGGAAGUUUACUUUUACAGCAAUGUAAACAGUAUAACCCCUCAACGACUACACGCUAAACAUCCUUUUUUGCUCUUUUGAAGGGAUACAAAGAGUCUGAAUCUAUUUCUUCAUUAGAUAGAAUCAGGGAAGGAAACACUUUGUAUCUUUUGUAUCUUUUGUUGGGAAAGGAGGAUGAUG
rnacentral:rRNA from 1 species